ACUCAGUCCACGAGGAGGAGAAAAAGAAUCAACUUUCCAGAUAGGGAUCUCGUUUUUCUUCAAAUAGAUUGAGGGAAAAAUGGAAGAAAAGUCGAAGGGAAGAAGAAAAAAUGAUUUAACUUUUCAAGGUAUUUUGUGUUAAGCUUAUUGCUGGUAGUGAUAGGAGGGAAGCUGCUCACUAGCUUUAAG